GUCACGACAAUGGACACCACUCCACUCUCCGUAAUAAACUCCAUGUGGCCCUGAACAGCCCUCUGAUGCCACUACUCUCCGUAACAAACCCCGCAUAUCCCCGAACGGCCCACUACCAGGUGGUUACAGACGUCGCUGUCAAUCAAUUAUGCUCUCCAUUUAUAAAAAGGGACCCCCAGAUAUGUUCUUCUCUGAGCUAAAAAUUAUAUCUUGAAACUCUGCUAAAAUUCUCAUUCGAGCACUCCAUUUCUGUUGAGGCAGAGUACUGACUUGAGCAUUGGAGGGUCUUGCUGGAGUACCCCCAACUCUGGUUUAGACUUCCCUUACAAGUCCCAGCGGC
rnacentral:lncRNA from 1 species